AAAAAAAUGGACUUAGUGGGUCUUUGAAUUUAAAUAAAAUAAACAUGUAUAUGCAACACAAAAUAUUUAUAUUCCUUGUGUAAACAUAAUUUAAUUGAUUAGGAUUAAAAUGUUUUGUUUGAAUGUAAAAUGAACACAUUAUUCUCACAUUGAUUAAAAUUGAUUGAAUUGAAUACUUAAAGCAAUAAAAUUGCGUUUGGACACAAAACGGCACCUCCUGAGCAGCAGGGGCAGUAUAGCUCAAUGAGAAGGACAUCGAUUGCCAUAAAAGAAGAAUAAAGAUCGUUUGUUUUGGGCGCCAAAAUGAAGACUCAGCAGCAGUCAGUCAGUCAGAAGAACUCUCUCAGACGGACACCACGUUAUUAAAGUCCAUCAUCCUUUCAUGCGCUACACAGCAUUGAUAAAUGCUGAAUUUAAAAGAAUCACUACUGUCUAAUGUUCCUGUGUCACCUGGACCUCCAAUCCAAAAACCUGACGAAACUCUUCUAUCAGAAAGGAUGACAGCUAGCAAAAAGACUUCAAACAAUUAAUGAUCAAAUGACAGAAGGCAUGGAUGAAGUCAGCAUCAGUGAGGUCAUUUGAAGACACCAAUGUUGGGAUUUGUGCUCUCAAACAACAUGCUGCUUGUGAUGAAGAAGAGGAUAUUUGUAUAGUCCUGGAAGCCAUGAAGGUGUUGCAACAUCGUGUUUGAGCUGAUGUAUGCCUUAAUCCUGAGCUAUCCUGAUCUCCGCUUUAUUUUUGAGGAAAUCCAAACUUCAUUGAGAGUAACUUUAACGAACAGUUUCUUUCAGUGAAAGGAUCAGAAAGACUGUGCUGCUCAUUUUUGAAUUUUUUAUCUGUUUU